AAUUCGAAGCAACGCGAAGAACUUACCAGGUCUUGUACAUCCCGAUGCUAUUUCUAGAGAUAGGAAGUUACUUCGGUACAUCGGUGACAGGUGGUGCAUGGUUGUCGUCAGCUCGUGUCGUGAGAUGUUGGGUUAAGUCCCGCAACGAGCGCAACCCCUAUUGUUAGUUGCCAUCAUUCAGUUGGGCACUCUAGCGAGACUGCCGGUAAUAAACCGGAGGAAGGUGGGGAUGACGUCAAAUCAUCAUGCCCCUUAUGACCUGGGCUACACACGUGCUACAAUGGUUGGUACAGAGGGUUGCCAACCCGCGAGGGGGAGCCAAUCCCAUAAAGCCAGUCGUAGUCCGGAUCGUAGUCUGCAACUCGACUACGUGAAGUCGGAAUCGCUAGUAAUCGUGGAUCAGAAUGUCACGGUGAAUACGUUCCCGGGUCUU
rnacentral:rRNA from 1 species